rnacentral:rRNA from 1 species
CCUACGGGAGGCAGCAGUGAGGAAUAUUGGUCAAUGGACGAGAGUCUGAACCAGCCAAGUAGCGUGAAGGAUGACUGCCCUAUGGGUUGUAAACUUCUUUUAUAUGGGAAUAAAAUGUUCCACGUGUGGGAUUUUGUAUGUACCAUAUGAAUAAGGAUCGGCUAACUCCGUGCCAGCAGCCGCGGUAAUACGGAGGAUCCGAGCGUUAUCCGGAUUUAUUGGGUUUAAAGGGUGCGUAGGUGGGUUGUUAAGUCAGUUGUGAAAGUUUGCGGCUCAACCGUAAAAUUGCAGUUGAAACUGGCAGUGUUGAGUGCAGUAGAGGUAGGCGGAAUUCGUGGUGUAGCGGUGAAAUGCUUAGAUAUCACGAAGAACUCCGAUUGCGAAGGCAGCUCACUGGACUGCAACUGACGCUGAGGCACGAAAGUGUGGGUAUCGAACAGGAUUAGAUACCCGGGUAGUC